GACGAACGCUGGCGGCGUGCCUAAUACAUGCAAGUAGAACGCUGAAGGAGGAGCUUGCUCUUCUGGAUGAGUUGCGAACGGGUGAGUAACGCGUAGGUAACCUGCCUGGUAGCGGGGGAUAACUAUUGGAAACGAUAGCUAAUACCGCAUAAUAUUGACUAUUGCAUGAUAGUCAAUUGAAAGGUGCAAAUGCACCACUACCAGAUGGACCUGCGUUGUAUUAGCUAGUUGGUGGGGUAACGGCUCACCAAGGCGACGAUACAUAGCCGACCUGAGAGGGUGAUCGGCCACACUGGGACUGAGACACGGCCCAGACUCCUACGGGAGGCAGCAGUAGGGAAUCUUCGGCAAUGGACGGAAGUCUGACCGAGCAACGCCGCGUGAGUGAAGAAGGUUUUCGGAUCGUAAAGCUCUGUUGUAAGAGAAGAACGAGUGUGAGAGUGGAAAGUUCACACUGUGACGGUAUCUACCAGAAAGGACG
rnacentral:rRNA from 1 species